rnacentral:rRNA from 1 species
CCUACGAGAGGCAGCAGUGGGGGAUAUUGCACAAUGGGGGGAACCCUGAUGCAGCGACGCCGCGUGGGUGAAGGAGCGUUUCGGCGCGUAAAGCCCUAUCGGCAGGGAAGAAGGAGGACGGUACCUGACUAAGAAGCCCCGGCUAACUACGUGCCAGCAGCCGCGGGAAUACGUAGGGGGCAAGCGUUAUCCGGAUUUACUGGGUGUAAAGGGGGCGCAGACGGCAGCGCAAGCCAGGAGUGAAAGGCCGGGGCCCAACCCCGGGACUGCUCUUGGAACUGCGCGGCUGGAGUGCAGGAGGGGCAGGCGGAAUUCCUGGUGUAGCGGUGAAAUGCGUAGAUAUCAGGAGGAACACCGGUGGCGAAGGCGGCCUGCUGGACUGCGACUGACGUUGAGGCCCGAAAGCGUGGGGAGCAAACAGGAUUAGAUACCCGAGUAGUC